AUGGCCGCCGCCGCGCCCGCGCUUCCCACCUUCCUCCGGCCGCGGCCGGCCCCGCCUUUCCCCUCCUCCACACCGCCUCUCCACCGACGCCGGCCCUCUCCGUCUCGUCUGCACCCUGCCCGGCCCGCCGCGCCCCUCUCCCCCGUCUCAGCUGUGGAGAAGACGAAGGGUGCCGCUGCGGCAGCCGACGAGGUCCAGCUGGAGGGGAUGCCUUCCGAGUUCUACGACGAGGAAUGGCAAGCCAAUCAGCGGGAGAGGACUAAGGAAUGGCAUGCAUAUCGUCAGAAAGAGGAAGCCGAGGAGGAAGCAAAAUCAAGUGAAUACCGAGAGAUUGGGAUGCGUAUGAAAGCAUACCCACAGGAAGAAGUUUGUAAAGCUAGGGUUUUAGUUUCAAGUUUCAUAAGAGCUGGUGAAGAUGUUGAGAAGGUAAUUGAGAAGGCUGCUGAAAGAGGAGAGCUUACCGAGCUUGUUCUCAUGGUCAUUUGGAAUCGACUUGAUGUUGCUCGGCGUGAUGAUGAGAAAGAUGCCAUCAGAAGCCUUGAUCUCUUGUACAGAAGGGUAGAGACUGAGAUUUUAAGAAGUGAAGCAACUCCCGCCAUGAGAUUACUUGAUGAACUUCUGAAUAUUCAUGAUGGCUCUGACGAUGACAAAUGGCUAAAGGCAUGUAGAAAGCACAUGAUUGAAGUUUUUCCAAGAGAGGACCCAUUCACCAUGGUCUUUCCUCCUGGAUUCGACAUGGAAAAGCAUGAUGGGCAGAUCAAGCUGCCUCCCCAGGAUGAUGAUGUGCUUCUGAGAGUUGACUUUGUAAGGGAAGUCGAUGAGCUGCUGAAAGAAGUUGAAGCUGGGCAAGAAAAGAGUAAGCUGCAAACUGGAUACGACCCGGAGUCUGUUGCGACCAUGUUGAAACAGCAAGAGAAGCUGCGGACUAUACGUCAAGUGGAAGCUCUCUUGGAGUUGGCAGCCUCCCUGAAAUGGUGA
rnacentral:rRNA from 1 species